rnacentral:rRNA from 1 species
AACGAACGCUGGCGGCAGGCUUAACACAUGCAAGUCGAACGGGCACCUUCGGGUGUCAGCGGCAGACGGGUGAGUAACGCGUGGGAACGUACCCUUCGGUUCGGAAUAACCCAGGGAAACUUGGGCUAACACCGGAUACGUCCGCAAGGAGAAAGAUUUAUCGCCGAAGGAUCGGCCCGCGUCGGAUUAGCUAGUUGGUGGGGUAAUGGCCCACCAAGGCGACGAUCCGUAGCUGGUCUGAGAGGAUGANCAGCCACACUGGGACUGAGACACGGCCCAGACUCCUACGGGAGGCAGCAGUGGGGAAUAUUGGACAAGUGGGCGAAAGCCUGAUCCAGCCAUGCCGCGUGAGUGAAGAAGGCCUUAGGGUUGUAAAGCUCUUUCAGCGGGGAAGAUAAUGACGGUACCCGCAGAAGAAGUCCCGGCUAACUUCGUG